rnacentral:rRNA from 1 species
GACGAACGCUGGCGGCGUGCCUAAUACAUGCAAGUCGAACGCAGUGGGGACGGGUGAGUAACACGUGGGUAACCUCCCAUCAGAGGGGAUAACACUUGGAAACAGGUGCUAAACCGAUACUGAUGGAUGGACCCGCGGUGCAUUAGCUAGUUGGUGAGGUAACGGCUCACCAAGGCCACGAUGCAUAGCCGACCGGAGGGGGGUAUCUGCCACACUGGGACUGAGAAACGGCCCCGAAUCCAACGGGAGGGAGCAGGAGGGAAUCGUUGGCAAUGGACGAAAGUUCUACCGAGCAAAGCCGCGGGAGUGAAGAAGGUUUUCGGAUCGUAAAACUCUGUUGUUAGAGAAGCGGUAUCUAACCAGAAAGCCACGGCUAACUACGUGCCAGCAGCCGCGGUAAUAC